rnacentral:piRNA from 1 species
UUAGGUUGAUCACCUCAUGGGAUGGCAUGGC